AUGCCCAUUUUAAUGUUAGGUCUAGUUGUGGUUCCUUGGAUCACCAAGACUGCAGGUCGCCUCAUCAGAUCUGGACUACACCCCAGUUCACCUGAGGUUAACCCAGCAGAACCUGUGCUCCAUGAAUCACCUCUGGACGUACCAGCAGCUGAUACAGACAGGAGGAACAGUAAUGUCACUUUGCCAUGUGAGGAUAAUGGCACAGGUUUGGACUGUCUGAGUGAUGACACUCAGCUAAAGAGAGAAGAGCAGGAUAGCACCUCUGCAUGCACUGGCCCUGUGAUUCACAGAGGCCAUUCUGACAGCCAGAGGCUUGAGCUUCCUCCUCGGUCUCCCACCAUGUCCCUAUAUAUGUGCCCCGAUGUCUCUGGUCCAGCGAUUGAGAAAGCCUGGGAGAAUAUCGAAACAUUUGACCCAGAGACACCACGGCCUGCUGGCAGACGGUCGGAAGCGAUUGCAGCAGUUUUCUCCACAGCUCAGGCAAAAGCUCCUGCAGUUUAUUCCAUGACCAAAGUUACAACCUUGACAUGUAUCGUCAGGCUCAGAGAAAUAAGCCUGAUGUUUUUGUCCGUUUCUCGGCAAAGAAUUGUGGCUUUUUUCUCCGUGGCUGGACGAACAACUUUAACUUUUUUAAGCAGGGCCCGAGCAAAGAUUGCAGCUCGUCUUUCCACAGCUGAAGCUGUUCAGAGGGCCCAUUUCUCAGACCCGGAGCAACCAGCACUUGUGGUUCUGUGUGAUUGGAUCAUCAUAGCUUCAUACAUCCUCUACAGGUAUGUUGGAAUUGCUUUGUCCCGGAUCCAAAGACGCAUGGAACUACUACUGGCCCAGGCCCGAGCGAGAAAUGAGGCUGUUUUGUUCAGGACCAGGGCAAGGAUUGAAGCUAUUCAUGACUCAGUCCAUGGUAUGCUGCAGCUGUUUUUUCCAGGCCCCGAAGAAGAAUGGCACCGGUGUUUUCCAGAGCCCGAGCAAGAACUGCAGCUGUGCUUUCCAGAGCACAGGAAAGGUUCCCACCUUUGUAUGACAGGCUCUCAGCAGGAAUUGCAGCUAUGUUUCCAUGGCUUGAAUAAUUUUCAGGCCCACCACUGAUGUCAGUCUACCACCAAUCCACUGUUAGGGAAUUCCCUAUACUUGCAGGCCUGGAGUAACAGAAAGAAGAGGUGUAAUAUGGUGGAACGGUAGCUCAGUAAUUCUAGUCUAUUUCUCUGAGCCUGGUGAUACUCUGGUUUCCUCCCACACACACAAUAAGAUGUGGGUGUGUGUGUGUGUGUGUGUGUGUGUGUGUGUGUGUGUAUAUGUGUGUGUGUAUGUAUGUAUGUAUGUUUGUAUAGAUAAAUAGAUGGAUAGCUAUAUAUAUCAAUAGAUUGAUAGAAAUAAUGGCUAUAAAAACUAAAUAAAAAAACUGAUCAUAAAAAUAAAGUUAAAAAGAUUUACAUGCAAUUCUCCAGAGUUCUUUAAUGUCACACACACUUAUGUUUUGCACGAGCAUUCAUCAUUAGGAAAAGCAUUGCCAGGAAACAACAGCACAGCAUUGCACACUUGUUGUGCAUUCGCAGAAAGAGAAAGUGCAUGUUUUGUUGCCUUGGUGGAAAUAAUAGUUCAUUGACAAGAGCUAAUGUCUCCCCACUUGUCCUCUUUCAUUCUGAUCCACUCUACUUGUUGCUUUCAUGAUGUUAAGCUGUUGGUAGACAAACAUUCCUGCUGUUUCAGUAGAUACAGUUGUGAAACUGCCUUGUGCUAUAUUAAUAGCAGAUUAAUCAGCACUGUCUGACAGUUUUCCAUCCUGUCAAUAAGCUUACUGUAAUCAACCAGUAAUGAGAACUAUGCCUGCGUAGUCUACAGUUUCCUGAGCACCUUGGCUGUUGCCAGGCAACAUCGUCCCCACUGCUCAUGGACAAGAUCGGACGGCUAAGGAUGCUGGGUAAUGAGCCAUGGUAAGGCCACAUUACUUCGCAUCAUGUGUAUUGAUUGAAAAGUAGAAUGGGAGUUAGUUUGUGGCGCCCAGAUAACUCACCUGGUAGAGCUGGAGCCCCAUGUACCAAAGAUGAGCCCUCACUGCAGGGGCCCCGGGCUCCAGCCCGACCUGCAGCCCUUUGCUGCGUGUCAAAUCCCCUCUACUCCCCUCCUUAGCUGUCACUAUCCAUUAAAAAUAAAAGCCCAAAUACAGAAAUAAAAGAAUGGUAGUUAAUUUUGUACAUAAGUGGAAAACUGGGUGUUAAAAGACAAAACCACUCUUGUGUACCUUACAAACCACAGGCUCUGUAUUCAAGGCACAAGUCUGUGAAACAGCACAGGAUCACUGAAAAAGAACAGGCAGGCUAAGGUACCAAAGCCCUGAUAAAUAAGGUUUAAAAAAUGUACCGGGACAGUUCAGUGGAUGAUACUCUGACCUCACAUUAAGAGGAGCUAAGGUAAAUGUUCCCCAGCUAAUGACAUGGUGUCCUUAUAACAAAACACAACAGGAUACUUGUUCAUACAUUUUCUACAGCUGUGAAUCAGAGUGCCUCUAACUGUAGAAGCCCAGUGGGGGUCUCACUUAAAUUUAGAGGUAAGUAAAUGUAUUCUUCUUGUCUGAAGAGACUGGAUGAUUAAUAAAAUGGUUGUGUAUUUAAAUGAACAUUAUAAACAAUCAAAAAGCAGUAACACUCUCUUCUGACACAGAGUCAAGGUGGGCCCACAUAAAAGUGAACCAAUAACUCAAACUGCUGAGUGAUAACUGACACCUAGAGGUUUCAGAGCAGAGCCUGAUGCAGACAUACACAGUGAACCCUUCACACUAUUAACAGAGAGAAAAAAGUCAGUAUACAACACGGAGGCCAACUAAGAACUUCUCUCAACAAGCGGUUUAAUUGCACUGUUUUUAUUGCAUGAAUUGUAAUAGCUGCAGAGAAACGUUUCAGAUGAGUACAGUUGGGUUUAAAGCCUUCCUGCAGUGAAGAGAGAUGGUCAGUGGACAUUCAGAUGGCACGGCUAACUUUAUUCACCUUUCUCCUCGUCAGUCUACCGACAGACCAGCGCUUAUAUACUGCAUUUAAACCACAACUGUAGCGCUGAGGAAUGAGGGAGGGCAAGAAACUGUACUUUCAACUUUCCAACACCAACAAACAGGCUGCAGGUUGUAGCAUGGACUUACCAAAAUGUGCUUCACUGUCUUAACACAGAAGAUUGCUCUACAGUGAGCGUGACAUCUUGUAGCUGCAGUGGUCAUUGUAGAGUGAUGAUAGAUAAUGUAAGGUGGGCGUUAUUGCUGGCUCCUUAUUAGUUUUACUCUGGGUGAUUCUUGUCACAUUUGGGAGAGAGACAAUAAGGGGGUUGUGGUGUGCUUUGGUGUGAUGCUCUCCCUCCAGCAAGCACUCAGCUCAACAGGUUUUCUAUGUGCAGCUGCUCAUUCAGUUGAAAUAUCAGGAUAUCAUCAGUCCAUCACAAAAACAACGCAGAGAUAAACCCUCCAAAUGCAAUAUAUAAGCCCAAACUCUGUGGAUUCAGACUUGGAGUGAUGGCUCCAUCUACAGGUUAGUUGUUGUACUGCAAUGACUGAGGGGGGUCGACAUAUUGAAGUGUGUGUUGCUGUGAUAGUUCAUAAAAUAAAAUAAAAAUCUUCUCCCUUUUAGGUAAGUAGACCAGCCACAUAUUAAAACAAAAUUCUCAAAAAAGUAACUUGGUCACUCAACUGAAAAAAAAAUCCCCAAUGAAACAAUAAAGGUGGUAUUUUACUGUACCUGAAUAUAGCUGUUCCCAACCCACAUCCCCACAACUUAUCCUUAUUUCAAAUAUAGGACUGAAAGAUAUGGGCUCUAAUGUUAAUAAUACAUUUAUCCAUACUAUGUUCAUAUAAUUAAUACAAAAUAAAUACAUUUAACAAAUACAAAUGAUUUUGAAGUGGGUCAAUUACCAAAGGAACAGAUGAUCACCCACAGUUGCAUUGUUAACACAUUUUUUUUUUCUUCAAGUGUAGGAUUUCUCAAUAAAACCAUUAUCACCCUUUAUUAAUUUAAACCUGUACUCUUAAAGCCUCUAUA
rnacentral:lncRNA from 15 species